rnacentral:piRNA from 1 species
UCCAAGCACAGAUCCAAGAUUAGGGA